GAUGGCAUAGCUUAGCACUGAAGUGUGUGCUUAGUAUGCACGAGGUCCUGGGUUCAAUCCCCAGUACCUCCA
rnacentral:tRNA from 1 species